GACGAACGCUGGCGGCGUGCUUAACACAUGCAAGUCGAACGGAAAGGCCCUGCUUUUGUGGGGUGCUCGAGUGGCGAACGGGUGAGUAACACGUGAGUAACCUGCCCUUGACUUUGGGAUAACUUCAGGAAACUGGGGCUAAUACCGGAUAGGAGCUCCUGCUGCAUGGUGGGGGUUGGAAAGUUUCGGCGGUUGGGGAUGGACUCGCGGCUUAUCAGCUUGUUGGUGGGGUAGUGGCUUACCAAGGCUUUGACGGGUAGCCGGCCUGAGAGGGUGACCGGCCACAUUGGGACUGAGAUACGGCCCGGACUCCUACUGGAGGCAGCAGUGGGAGAUAUUGCACAAUGGGCGGAAGCCUGAUGCAGCAACUCCGCGUGCGGGAUGACGGCCUUCGGGUUGUAAACCGCUUUCGCCUGUGACGAAGCGUGAGUGACGGUAAUGGGUAAAGAAGCACCGGCUAACUACGUG
rnacentral:rRNA from 1 species